CACUCUGAAGUGGCAACUGAGAAGAACGGCUACUUCCUAGUGUAAACUCCAUUUAUAUAAAUGGCACUCUUCAUAACGCUGUAAUCCGGAGGAGUUGUACUACGACGAUGACGUUGCUGAUGACGUCAAGGCGAAUUGAAGAAAACACGUUUCAAGUCAAAGAUCAGCUAGACGAUAUUCAUGAAAUGUUGACCAAAGUAUGCUCAGGUGAUUCUUUUGAAUACAGGUUUGAAACCGAUCUCCACGCACGAACCCGUACAGUUAAUGAACUUCACAGAGAACAGCUGAACACGGCCAAUAAAAUGGAAAGAGAAGUCGGGGAGAUCAAGUUGCUCUUAAGCAGUUGGCUUUAAAACGCGAUACAAAAACGCAUCGAAAACAUUCGCGCGUGCAAAAUUCCGAAACUCCGCCGGCAAAUCACGAAGAUGAAAAAAUACUGAUGAUCACUAAAAUCAUCAUAGUUAAAAUACGCACCCUGCAUCACUGUGGUAUCGUUGCUAAUGCAUUUUGGAAAGGUACUGUUUAUAUGUUUUACAGUUAUUUUGAAAUUUUGCCCCAAAGAAAAAUCAUUUGGUGGAGCAUUUUUUAACAAAUGCAACAUUUCACUGAGCUCAUCUUUACGAUUGCGACAUGAGCUCACACUUCGACAGAUAUUCGUUGAUGAGCAUUGUCGAAUGCGAAACGAAUUGCGCAAUGUAGAAGAAGGCAUGUGCAAACAACUUUAUUGUUUAAUUUAAAACGUUGACUAGGA